rnacentral:tRNA from 1 species
AGGGACAUAGUUCAGUGGUAGAAUGGCGGUCUCCAAAACCGUAGACGGGGGUUCGAGUCCCUCUGUCCCUG